GUUGAACGCUGGCGGCACGCUUUACACAUGCAAGUCGAACGGCAGCACGGACUUCGGUCUGGUGGCGGGUGGCGAACGGGUGAGUAAUACAUCGGAACGUACCCAGUAAUGGGGGAUAACUAUCCGAAAGGAUAGCUAAUACCGCAUACGCCCUACGGGGGAAAGAGGGGGAUCGCAAGACCUCUUGUUAUUGGAGCGGCCGAUGGCUGAUUAGCUAGUUGGUAGGGUAAAGGCCUACCAAGGCAACGAUCAGUAGCGGGUCUUAGAGGACGAUACGGCACACUGGAACUGAGACACGGUCCAGAGUCCUACGGGAGGCAGCAGUGGGGGAUCUUGGACAAAGGGCGCAAGGCUGAUCCAGCAAUGCCGCGUGCGUGAAGAAGGCCUUCGGGUUGUAAAGCGCUUUUGUCAGGGAGCAAAUCCUUGUGGCUAAUACCCACCGGGGAUGAGAGUACCUGAAGAAUAAGGACCGGCUAACUACGUGCCAGCCGCCGCCGUAACAC
rnacentral:rRNA from 1 species